UAUGAAACUAAGUUGUAUGAGUUAUACACUCACUUAUAUAAUUUUUAUAGUUAAUAGAUCUUCCCCUUACUAAGUGAAAGGAGUAUUUGUUUCUCCAUGGGGUGGGAACUCUUUGUACCAUACUGGUACUUUAAUAGAUGGUCUAAUUGAUAUCAACCCAAUUAAUUUACCAUGUCUACCACGUGUUCUAAAUUGGUUAGACAUUAUUCCCAUUUGAAUUGCCUUCACUCCUGAGUCUCUGAGUGUCAGGUUCAAGCUGCUGACCGACGAGGUUCCUUAUGCUUGCGAACCAGUUAGAUUCUAUACACAUAUGAAUCUUCCCCAUAUUCGAAUAUCUGAAUGUCAGACUCAAGCUGAUGAUAUAUGAGGUAUGGUCCCCGCUGUAUCAAUCAAGUCCCAUUGAAAUAUUAAAACGUUGUUCAUACAUCUUUGAAUGACCUUUUAUGUGCUGACAAUAUGUUCUGAAAUGAAGAGAUUUUACCCCUGAUGAAGUCUUGGAACAAGACGAAACGCGUUGGGUUAUUUAUCUAUCUAUUAUCUGAUGUUACCUCCGAAUCUACAAUAAGGAGAAGGAGGAAAUCGUAGUGAUAUAUCUACGCUUUUUCCUCAUCACUACAAACUGAUUGUUCAAAUUGUGCGACAAAUGUAAAUGUAUCAACUCUGUAUACUUAUGAACAUUUGUGUCGGGUUUAUAUGCUGUUUUAAUAAAUUUUUAUGUUAGUAUUUGUUAUCUGAUGUAAUUUAUCCGGAGAGUACUGUAAGGGUCCGUUU